rnacentral:rRNA from 1 species
AACGAACGCUGGCGGCAUGCCUAACACAUGCAAGUCGAACGAGACCUUCGUGUCUAGUGGCGCACGGGUGCGUAACGCGUGGGAACCUGCCCUUAGGUUCGGAAUAACUCCCCGAAAGGGGUGCUAAUACCGGAUAAUGUCUUCGGACCAAAGAUUUAUCGCCGUUGGAUGGGCCGGCGUUGGAUUAGCUGGUUGGUAGGGUAAAAGCCUACCAAGGCGACGAUCCAUAGCUGGUCUGAGAGGAUGAUCAGCCACACUGGGACGGAGACACGGCCCAGAAUCCUACGGGAGGCAGCAGUGGGGGAUAUUGGACAAUGGGCGAAAGCCUGAUCCAGCAAGGCCGGGUGAGUGAUGAAGGCCUUAGGGUUGUAAAGCUCUUUUACCCGGGAUGAUAAUGACAGUACCGGGAGAAUAAGCUCCGGCUAACUCCGUG